CAUCAAAGACCGGGGACAAGCGCCCAGCCUCUCCUAGAACAUCUGCCCCAUCUCCUGCUCGGAAGAAGUCCAGGGCUGCCGCAGGAGCUUCUCCAGCCCUUCCUUCCAUUGGGAAGGGGAAAAGUGUUGCUGCCGAGCCUCCGUUGUCUUCUUCUGACAAUGCUCUGAACACAUCGGACAUUACCUCCGAGUCUCCGACCAGUGCUGUCGUCGAAUUUCUCAAGGAGCGAAUAUUCGGCGGAAUCACAGAGGCUUCAGAUCCUCGUCUUCUUGCCCUGACUGGUCUCUUAGCCAGCUCUACCAAGGAGCAAGCAUCCUUCCGAUCUCGCUCUCGUGAGGAGCUCGGAUCCACGAUCAGGGAAAUGCUUCUGAUGGUAAAUUACUUUUUUCACUUCUUUUCAGUUUGCUUUGUUUCCUUUUCUUGACAGUUAUUCUGC
rnacentral:lncRNA from 1 species